CUGACUAUGGAGUAUUGCGAUGUUUUUGUCAAACACCUGCUGUCUCCAUCCUUGAAACGUCUGCGCAUCGCCAGCUGCGAUAGUACAGAGUAUACUCGCAUUCUUAUUUCUCUACCAAGUCUCGUUUCACUCGAGUUGAUUGAAUGGCAACGAGGAAGGGCCCCAUUGCUUGGAAGCUUGCCGUGGUUAGCAAGAGCCGUUGUUAAACUUGGCGAUGAUGCUGCUGAUCGAUGCUCUAAAGGUCAAUUCGAUGAUUGUGGUGUUUAUAUCUGCCAUGGUUGUCGUUAUUAUUAUUAUCAUCAUCAUGGGGAUCCUGAAUAUGGGCCUGGUUAUGACCGCAACGAUAGCAUCUUUCUCAAAGGUUUGUCAGAAGCCACGGACUUGGAGUUGUCAGCUGAAUCUGACGUGAUUGUUUUCAACAGGGAUUUGAAUUGGUGCCCUACAUUUACAAAGUUAAAGACUUUGUUACUCAAUGACUGGUGUUUGGCUGCUGACCACAAUGCAUUGAUUUAUUUUCUCUAGCACUCACCAGUGUUGGAGAAGCUUACUCUUCAACUUUCUAAGGCACGUCCAAAUGUGAUGAAUAUGAAAGGAAUAUACAAACCAUUGGGACAGUCAGUUGCAUCCAACUGUCUUAAACUUGUUCAAAUCAAAUGUGCAAAAAUCAAUAGCUGUGUUUAUGGAAUUUUGAAGACACUGACUACCUAUGGAGUAAGCCUUGAGAAAAUUAAUAUCACUAGCAGAAUUUCGGGAUCUGGAUGUAAGUUACUGUUC